CUCGCGCGCCGCCCAUCCCGCCGCCCGGUCGCCGGUCUACGGCCUCAGGAGUGGUCGGGCAGCUGCCGGCGAGCCGGCGAGCGCACUGCCGGGCGGGCGAACGGCGUGCCCGGCCUGCCUUCUCCGAGGAAGGAGGGAGCGAUUUCCCCGUGCUCUAGACCCCCUUCGAGCCACAGCAGCGGGCCCGAGCCGAGAGGGAGAAGCUGAGGAGCCGCCGCCUCUCCCCGCCGCGCCGCCGCCGCCGCCGCCAUAGCUGCCAUGAUGGAUCGGAAGUGAGCCUCCGGGCGACGGCUACCGGCGCCGGCGCUCCCAGUCCGGGCUCCCCGGCAGCUGCCGCCGGGCGAAGCACGACGCGGAGACCCCGGUCUCUCUCGGCCUCCGCGACCCUUCCCGUCAGCGCGGGCCCGCUCGCUUCCAGACUGAGCGGCGGGGAGUGGCUCCCGGCCUCCCGCCCCGGCAGUGAGGAAGAUGGCGGACCCGGCCGAGUGCAACAUCAAAGUGAUGUGUCGCUUCAGACCGCUCAACGAGUCUGAGGUCAACCGCGGCGAUAAGUACAUCGCCAAGUUUCAGGGAGAAGACACGGUCAUGAUCGCGUCCAAGCCUUAUGCAUUUGACCGAGUAUUCCAGUCAAACACCUCUCAAGAGCAAGUGUAUAAUGACUGUGCAAAGAAGAUUGUUAAAGAUGUACUUGAGGGAUACAAUGGAACAAUAUUUGCAUAUGGACAAACAUCCUCUGGGAAGACACACACAAUGGAGGGUAAACUUCAUGAUCCAGAAGGCAUGGGGAUUAUUCCAAGAAUAGUGCAAGAUAUUUUUAAUUACAUUUACUCCAUGGAUGAAAAUUUGGAAUUUCAUAUUAAGGUUUCAUAUUUUGAAAUUUAUUUGGAUAAGAUAAGGGACCUGUUAGAUGUUUCAAAGACCAACCUUUCAGUUCAUGAAGAUAAAAAUCGAGUUCCUUAUGUAAAGGGGUGCACAGAACGUUUUGUAUGUAGUCCAGAUGAAGUUAUGGAUACCAUUGACGAAGGAAAAUCCAACAGACAUGUAGCAGUUACAAAUAUGAAUGAACAUAGCUCUAGGAGUCACAGUAUAUUUCUUAUUAAUGUAAAACAAGAGAACACGCAAACGGAACAAAAGCUGAGUGGAAAACUUUAUCUGGUUGAUUUAGCUGGUAGUGAAAAGGUUAGUAAAACUGGAGCUGAAGGUGCUGUACUAGAUGAAGCUAAGAACAUCAACAAGUCACUUUCUGCUCUUGGCAAUGUCAUUUCUGCUUUGGCUGAGGGAAGUACAUAUGUUCCAUAUCGAGAUAGUAAGAUGACGAGAAUCCUUCAAGACUCAUUAGGUGGAAACUGUAGAACCACUAUUGUAAUUUGCUGUUCUCCAUCGUCAUACAAUGAAUCUGAAACAAAAUCUACACUCCUGUUUGGUCAAAGGGCUAAAACAAUUAAGAACACAGUUUGUGUAAAUGUAGAAUUAACUGCAGAACAGUGGAAAAAGAAAUAUGAAAGAGAAAAGGAAAAAAAUAAGACCCUGCGGAACACCAUUCAGUGGCUUGAAAAUGAACUCAACCGGUGGCGUAAUGGAGAGACAGUGCCUGUUGAUGAACAGUUUGACAAAGAGAAAGCCAACUUGGAAGCUUUUGCAGUAGAUAAGGAUGUUACUAUUACCAAUGAUAAACCAGCAGCCACAAUUGGAGUUACUGGAAACUUUACUGAUGCUGAAAGAAGAAAGUGUGAAGAAGAAAUUGCGAAAUUGUACAAACAGCUUGAUGACAAGGAUGAAGAAAUUAAUCAACAGAGCCAAUUGGUAGAGAAACUGAAGACACAAAUGUUGGAUCAAGAAGAGCUUUUGGCAUCUACCAGAAGGGAUCAAGAUAAUAUGCAAGCUGAACUGAAUCGCCUGCAAGCAGAAAACGAUGCCUCUAAAGAAGAAGUAAAAGAAGUUUUACAAGCCUUAGAGGAACUUGCUGUCAAUUAUGAUCAGAAGUCUCAGGAAGUGGAAGAUAAAACUAAGGAGUAUGAAUUGCUUAGUGAUGAACUAAAUCAGAAAUCGGCAACUUUAGCAAGUAUAGAUGCUGAACUUCAGAAACUUAAGGAAAUGACCAACCACCAGAAAAAACGAGCAGCUGAGAUGAUGGCAUCUUUACUAAAAGACCUUGCAGAAAUAGGAAUUGCUGUGGGAAAUAAUGAUGUAAAGCAACCUGAGGGAACUGGCAUGAUAGACGAAGAGUUCACUGUUGCAAGGCUCUACAUUAGCAAAAUGAAGUCAGAAGUAAAAACAAUGGUAAAACGCUGCAAACAGUUAGAAAGCACACAAACUGAGAGCAACAAAAAAAUGGAAGAAAAUGAAAAGGAGUUAGCAGCAUGCCAGCUUCGUAUCUCUCAACAUGAAGCCAAAAUCAAAUCAUUGACUGAAUACCUUCAAAAUGUGGAACAAAAGAAAAGACAGCUAGAGGAAUCUGUUGAUUCCCUCAGUGAAGAGUUAGUCCAGCUUCGAGCACAAGAGAAAGUGCAUGAAAUGGAAAAGGAGCACUUAAAUAAGGUUCAGACUGCAAAUGAAGUUAAGCAAGCGGUUGAACAGCAGAUCCAAAGCCACAGAGAAACACAUCAAAAACAAAUAAGUAGUUUGAGAGAUGAAGUUGAGGCAAAAGAAAAACUUAUCACUGAUCUUCAAGACCAAAACCAGAAAAUGAUGUUAGAGCAGGAACGUCUGAGAGUAGAGCAUGAGAAGUUGAAAGCUACAGAUCAGGAAAAGAGCAGAAAACUACAUGAACUUACGGUCAUGCAAGAUAGACGAGAACAAGCAAGACAAGACUUGAAGGGUUUGGAAGAGACGGUGGCCAAAGAACUUCAAACUUUACACAACCUGCGGAAGCUCUUUGUUCAGGACCUGGCCACCAGAGUUAAGAAGAGUGCCUGAGAUUGAUUCUGAUGACACUGGAGGCAGUGCUGCUCAAAAGCAGAAGAUCUCUUUUCUUGAAAAUAACCUUGAACAACUCACAAAAGUGCACAAACAGUUGGUACGUGAUAAUGCAGAUCUUCGCUGUGAACUUCCUAAGUUGGAAAAGCGACUUAGAGCUACUGCUGAAAGAGUGAAAGCUUUGGAGUCAGCACUGAAGGAAGCCAAAGAAAAUGCAUCUCGUGAUCGCAAACGCUAUCAGCAAGAAGUAGAUCGUAUAAAGGAAGCAGUCAGGUCAAAGAAUAUGGCCAGAAGAGGACAUUCUGCACAAAUUGCUAAACCUAUUCGUCCCGGGCAACAUCCAGCAGCUUCUCCAACUCAUCCAAGUGCAAUUCGUGGAGGAGGCGCAUUUGUCCAGAAUAGCCAGCCAGUAGCAGUUCGAGGUGGAGGAGGCAAACAAGUAUAAUCUUUACACGUUACCCACAGGCAUUGAAAAUAAUUGAAGUAUGAAGAGGAUGUAAUAUCAAGCAGAGUCAUUCAGUGACUAUAACCUCUACCCCCUUGAGAAUUGUAGAAUUAUAACUUUUUUUAAAUGUAUAAAUUAUACCUGGCCUGUACAGCCGUUUCCUACCCACUCUUCUUGUAAACUCUGCUGCUUCCAAACACAACUAGAGUGCAAUUUUGGCGUCUUAGGAGGGGGGAAAAUGACAGUUUACAACUGUGGUCCUAUUUAUUACACAGUUUGUCUUUCGUGUCUUAAAUUUAGUCUUCACUGUGCCAAGCUAACUGUACCAUAUAGGAUUGUGCUUUUUGUACUUUUUGUCUGUUUGUGUUUAUUUUUUAAUCUCAGUUUAAGUUACCUAGCUGCUACUGCAUGUUUUUCUUUUCUUAGUAAAAUGUCUUCCUUACUUUAGGGAAAAUGGAACAUUUAGAUUAAAUCUCUUAAAUUUCACCACUUACAACACUACAUGCCCACAAAUAUAUCAGGUCAGUACUGUACUUUAAAAAUCCCUUGAAAUGAUUUCAGAGUUAAAAUUAUUUGUAUUGUGUCUAAAGUUUGCUUCUGAAAACUACUGUUUGAGCACUGAAACCUUAAAACUGCAUAACGAGGCGUUUGAGACUGAGCACGGCUACUUAAUUUUCUUCAUGAAAUGCCUGUUGCCGAAUUAUCUUGAAUAGAAAUAUUUUAUAAUGUCACAAGCAAAUCUGUCUAAGAAAGGGUUUGGAGAAGGACUUCCAUUUCUCUUCCCAAUUCUGUAAUCAAAAUGGUGUGAUGGAAUGAAAAUACUCUGCUUCAUCCUGGUGAUCCUGUUAAUUAAUAUAAGAGUUGGACAGAUGUUUAUUUGUCAUCUUAAUAUGGUGAAAUGAAUUAAGAUACUACAGCAUUAAACAGCAUUUAUAUUGUUAGUACUGUAUUGGUUGAUUUAAAUUGAUAGCCUAUGGAAAUUGAGAAAAGUGUGGAAGAACUUAACAGUGAACUUAAGAAUCUAUAGGUGAAUUUUGGUCUGAAAUCCCUGAGGUGUUUUUAACCUGCUACACUAAGUCAUACACUAUAAUUUAUGCUUGUUUAGUCUAGAAAUAGCAAAUUGCAAGUCACUGAUUAAUUAUCUUCAAAGAAAUUUUGUUGGCUAUACCCAUAAUUUUGUAAUUCGUACUAGGUGUACCUGUUUUUGCCACUACUUCCUCAGCUGAUUAAAUGACGUCAAAACUUUAUUUUCGAAAGCUCUAAACGUAAUAGGGAGAUAGAUUUCAAUAUUUGCUUUAUCUGUGUGUGGGGUGACUGCACCUAUAUGAGCAGAAAUUUGCAGAGAAUGAUGAUUUAAGGUGAUUCAGUAGAGAAAGUUGGAAAGUUCUGUGUUAGGAUCUGGCUGGCAGAAUUAACUUUUUGAAAAAGUUUUAUACACAGAUAUUUGUAUUAAAUUUGGAGCCAUAGUCAGAAGACUCAGAUCAUAAUUGGCUUAUUUUUCUAUUUAACUAUUGUAAUUUCCACUUUUAUAAUAGUUUUGAUUUAAAAGAUAAAUUUAUUUAUUUAUUUUUUUAACAGUCAAAAAUCCUUGCUGUUGCAGUCUGCGACCUUUAAAAUGAUUGUGUUGCUUUUAGGAUUGGUCAAAAAGAAACACUCCAGAAAUUGAGAUGAAACCUUGGUAUGCAGCAAGAUUGAAGUAAUACAGUUAACUUAAAAAAAUAAAAAAAGUGCUAUAGCCUAUUUAUGGGGAUAGCUUUUCUAAAUGGAGAAAUACUGGGCUGCAUUCACAUAGACAUUUAUAUUUUGUUUUCAAAAGAAAGCUUGCUCCUUUGGCAGUAUUCUUAAAUGAAGCAGAAUUUUUUUUCUCUUUUAUCUGAAUAUGGUAGUUUCAUUGUAAGAUGUAUCACGGGUAUUGGUGCUGUGUAACAAACAAAUGUAAUUAGCAUGUGGUUCCGAAUACACAUUGUUAGGGUUUUUUAAAUAUCGAAAUGGUUCUUUUCUAUUUAUAAUUUCAAACUUUCACAAGUGUACAGAGAAUUUCAUAAAUUACUUUUCAGUGAACUGCUCUUUUUGCUAUGGUAGGUCAUUAAACACAGCAUUUACUCUUAGAAAUGAAAAUUUCUGAUCCUCUAGAACAUUGACGCUUAUUUCAAUUUGCAGUCAUUUUUUUUUUUUUACUAUUAACGUUCCUCUGAAUGGUAUUGAUAAAUGGUUCAGAAGAGAAACUCAGUGAAAUAAAAGUAAUAUUUAUUCAUGGUGAUCAAUUAAAUUAUUUGCCUAACUUAAGCAAGCUACUGUUCAUAACUUUUCCAUUUGACAUGAUGUGACAGAAAAGAAUCUGAGUAUACCUGUGGAAUAUGUUGGUUUAUUUCCAGUGCUUGAAGAUACACUCAAAGCUAAUUGGUUUGGGAAGACGCCAUAUAAUUUUUAAGUUAACCUGCAUGCUGUAAAUGUGUUUCAUGUUUAAAUAAAGUGGAAAAAUUUUUUGAAAUGUAAUAACUUUCUUAAAACUUAUUUGAUGAAGUAUUAGGUUGAUUUUAUAUGACUAAAUGGCCUCUUGUCUUGCAGAUAGUGACUUAAUAAGUUGUUAUAUUCAUGUGUAUUUUGUUUCCUGAUGUAUUGCUUAUUCUUUGGACAGUGGGUAUUAAAUAUGUAGGCUGAAAAUUAAGAGCCAGAAAUGAAUCCUCUGUCUCACCUACAUUAUUUUAGUGUAGCCUCCCUGCUACACGAUUCUGUUCACCUGAGCUUGAUUGUUAUUCACCUUUAUAAGAAGUGUUUGUUUUUCAAUACUUACUCAGUGGUCCUGAAUGGUCAUUCAGGCCUAGCUGGAGAAAACUAAAGAAAGAUUGUUCAUGAA